rnacentral:rRNA from 1 species
ACUCCUACGGGAGGCAGCAGUGGGGAAUAUUGGACAAUGGGGGAAACCCUGAUCCAGCCAUGCCGCGUGUGUGAAGAAGGUCUUCGGAUUGUAAAGCACUUUAAGUUGGGAGGAAGAGCAGUAAGUUAAUACCUUGCUGUUUGACGUUACCGACAGAAUAAGCACCGGCUAACUCUGUGCCAGCAGCCGCGGUAAUACAGAGGGUGCAAGCGUUAAUCGGAAUUACUGGGCGUAAAGCGCGCGUAGGUGGUUGCGUAAGUUGAAGGUGAAAUCCCCGGGCUUAACCUGGGAACUGCCUCCAAAACUGCGUGGCUAGAGUACGGGUAGAGGGGUAUGGAAUUUCCUGUGUAGCGGUGAAAUGCGUAGAUAUAGGAAGGAACACCAGUGGCGAAGGCGACUACCUGGACUGAUACUGACACUGAGGUGCGAAAGCGUGGGGAACAACAGGAUUAGAUACCCGUGUAGGACAGU